GGUCGACUAGCUCAGUUCGGUUAGAGCGCCGAGCUAAUAACUCGGAGGUCCUGGGUUCGAUCCCCAUGUUGACCA
rnacentral:tRNA from 1 species